UUUUCUUUUUCUUUUUCAGUCAACACAACACACAUACACACACUCCUCUCCCUCACCCUCCCACCGGUACAUUCCUCAUCAUCACCCCUACCAUUUUUUCCAGCAAAAUCACUAGAAAAUCCUCAAGAACAUCACAUCUUCACACAAGUUAAUUGAGAGUAGGCAACAAUCUUUUGAGACAGCUUUUUGGUGGCUAAUAGUAGUUAGACUAACUACUGAUGGAGGCUGAAUUUUUUUGUAAUGGAUAUAUUAGAUGGUGUACAUCUUAGUCUAGGCUUGACUCAUUCUUUUGUAUAUUAUAGUGGUUAUGACUGUAUUUCCACUGUUGGGACAAGCUGUUGUCAUGUAAUUGUUGUUUUCAGACCUCUAUUCUUUUGUGGCCUAUGGUCCUUGUAAUUAAUGCUUAGAGCUCUGACUUACUCUGAAA